rnacentral:misc_RNA from 1 species
UACGGAGGGUGCAAGCGUUAAUCGGAAUUACUGGGCUUAAAGCGCACGCAGGCGGUCUGUCAAGUCGGAUGUGAAAUCCCCGGGCUCAACCUGGGAACUGCAUCCGAAACUGGUAGGCUAGAGUCUUGUAGAGGGGGGUAGAAUUUCAGGUGUAGCGGUGAAAUGCGUAGAGAUCUGGAGGAAUACCGGUGGCGAAGGCGGCCCCCUAGACAAAGACUGACGCUGAGGUGCGAAAGCGUAGGUAGCAAGCAGG